ACUCCUACGGGAGGCAGCAGUGGGGAAUCUUGCGCAAUGGGCGAAAGCCUGACGCAGCAACGCCGCGUGCGGGAUGACGGCCUUCGUGGUUGUAAACCGCUUUCAGCAGGGACGAAAAUGACGGUACCUGCAGAAGAAGCCCCGGCUAACUACGUGCCAGCAGCCGCGGUAAU
rnacentral:rRNA from 1 species